CAAAAGGGGUGCUGGGUGUUCCCGGCUGAGAAGGGAUUAAUUGAGAUUCCAAACCCUCGAACCUGAUCCGGGUAAUGCCGGCGUAGGAAACAGAG
rnacentral:ncRNA from 1 species